GUGCAAGACUGUCACAUUUCCUUGGCUGAAAAUCUGGGAGUAUGUGAACAUAUUUUGAAGCCAACCGGUCCCCGUCACAUAUAAUCAGCUCCAUCUCAACUUUCCACAUGUGGCCUUGCAGUAAUGUGAGCUAAACCGAACUGUGUCACUGUGAAUGAGGCACAGUUCACAUUCAGCGCUUUAAAAAGCCCCCGUGGGGAUCGUCACUCCGAGAGACCGAGCGAGAUUGAUUUGAGAGCAGCAGCCUGCAGAGACGGAUUAAAGCUGCGCACCUUUCGCACCCAACAGGAGGCAUCUCGAGUACAACGCCCGGUCCUCACAUGAUGUUAAAGCAUCUCCAGUCGCCCUCAUUAUCCAGGCGCCCUGACACACACACAAGGAGGGAGAGAGAGAGACAUCACCACUGCAGCCACCACUCACAGCAUCCUCGCUGCCACGCCGUGUCUGCCGUGACCCGACGAGGCACUGACACGGGCUGUUCAAAGGAAUCCGUGGUUUUCAGACGAGAUUUGAUGCUCGUUUGUAACCAGACUGCGGAUGGAAUCUUGCCUGGAGACUUGAAGCACCUGACGUGUCUCAAAGAAUCCAACCGUCAGCUCAUCCUUCACCUGACACCAUGGAAAGGUCAGCGGUUCACACGUUGAUCAAUUGAUCAUCUGAUAGAG
ensembl:lncRNA